AGCAGUACCUGGUGGAGGAGGUUCGUCACUUCAGCCCCUACAGGAAGUUUAAGACCAUCAUCUGGACUGUUCUGGCCUCCGUUCGCAUUUAUUACAAUUACCGACGUGCGAAGCCUCCCAGCAAACAAGUGCUCAUCCGCGAUCCCUACGCUUUUAAGGGAGUUCGUAAAAUUAUCGAUGGCUGUGCUUUCAAAGUGUACGGACAUUGGGUGAAGAAGGGUUUGCAACAGAAUCGAGCAGCUUUGUUUGAGAAUUCUCCAAAAGCCGUCCUGUUCUCCCUGAGAGAGGCCACAGCCCAGCUGGCAUGAAUCCACCCUCCCUGUGGUCAAUGAUGUUAGUUGGUAGAAAUGCAGCACGAGUCUGGCACCGAGCCUUGCCCUGCAUGCUGCUUCUAUUUGUCUUUCUGCUAAGGUGUGCAAUGAGGGUGUAACCUUAUGAAUGCAACUUGCUAAUGUAAACUUAGAGAAGCCGGGUGGUGGUUCAGAUCCCAAGCGGUUCUGCAGCAUGUGCUGAGAAACAUUGGCAUCGGUGUGAUUUGGUAACUUCACACUGGUUUAUAGUCGACCCCCUUCCCUCUGCCUGCUGCCCCUGCUUGGCUCACACUGAUGGCUGUGACAUGUCAACCUUGUCUAUCAACAGCUCUCUCCUCCUCCUUGUUGAUCUUUUUCACCAUGCACACCAUCACAAGAACCCCCGUGCUGACCACCAUCGCUUGGACCUCCAGUCUCAUCAUGAGCACCAUCCCUCAGACCCCACCCCAAUCUUGAGCACCCGUCACAUGGCCCUCCACCUUGACCACCAUCAUGUGGACCCAGAUCCUGACCCCCACCCUCACCCUGUACACACAUUACACAAACCCCACCAUCACAAGGAAAUCCACCCUGACCUUGACCACCAUCAUGCGGAUCCAGAUCCUCACCAUCCCACAGACCCCCACAUUCACCCUGAACACCCAUUGCAUGGUCCCUGUCCCCACUCUCACCUUGAAUACCAUCACAAGGAACCCCACCAAUAACGCAAUCUCCAUCGCAAGGAUCCCUUUCCUCACACUGCCCAUGAUCCCUGCUCUCGCCCUGAGCACCCAACCAACAAUCUCCAGCCCUACCUGCAUUUUGGCACUGGGCCACAUACCGAUGGAGAGGUGGGAAUCUUUGGUGCAGAACAAAGACAUUGUGCUGAAGAAAAUACUGAAGCAUUUGUCACCGUGUUCAGCCAAAAGUGCCAUAUAAGUGAUCCAUCUUGGCGUCACCCUAAGAUCUCACCAUCACGGAUCCCAUUCUCCUGCCAGUUUUACUCGCUGCACAUGAUUGGGAUUCAACUGAGAGCUCUGGAUGUAGCAAAGUCUGCGGGAUCAGUCAACUUUCCCAUCGUUGUCAUGAAGACCUGUGAUCCACUAACAAUGGUGUCUGCAGAUAAGCUGCUCCAGCACCGUUGCAACAUCUAUCUAACACUGGGGGAAACUAGCCCAAUAUGUCCUCUUCACCAAAACAGGACAAACCCAGUCCAACUAAUGAUCGCCCAAUCAUUCUGCUCUCAGUAACGUGACUGAAGGUAUCAUCAACAGUGUGAUCCAUUGGCACUUGCUCUCCAAUGCCAUUCUACUCUAGAACCCUGAGCCACAAGAAUCAGAAGGGGGGGGGGGGUUUAAUUACAAUUUUAAGGGGCACAGGGAGAGAGAGAUUGAGGCUUGCAUGUGCACAGGUCAUUGAGCGGGUAGGUCAAGAGAGCCAUCGCAAAAAGACACAAAAUCCUGGGCUCUAUAAAGAGAGGCACAGAAUGCAAGAGCAAGGCAGUCAAGAGGAACUUCUAUCAAACUAAUUCAGUGAGGAAUUUCAGUUGUGUGAAGCUAGGAUUGUUCAUCUUGAACAGAGGAGGUUGUGGGGGGAAUGUGAAAUCAUUGAAAGUAUGGACUAUGUAGAGAGACUGUUCCCAUUGUUGAGGGGAGGUAGGCAAAAAAACUGAAAUUGACGUCAAGAUCUUUUUGAUGUAGCUGUUGGUUUUAUGUCUGGAAUGCAGGGGAGACAGGUUCAAAUGUAGGAGCAGGUGCAGGACGCUGGAUGAGAAUGGAGUGGGACGAGCUGGGUGCUCCUACAUGGGGCCCCUGCACACCGAGAGACACGGUGCAGCGGUGGAGUGACUGCCUUACGCCGUCAGAGAUCCGGGUUAAAUUCUGACUACGGGUGCUGUCUGAAUGGAGUUUGCACGUUUCUCCCUUUGGGUUUUCCAGGUUUCCUCCCACAUUCCAACAACAUGCUGGUUUGUAAGUUAAUUGGCUUCUGUAAAUUGUCCCUAGUGUGUAGGAUAGAACUAGUGUACGGGUGAUCGUUGGUCGGUGCAGAUGGGCCGAAGGGCCUGUUUCCAUGAGGUCUAAACUAAACGGCCACCUUCUGUGCUGUAACAAAAAAAAUUGAUAGGCUUGAAUGACUUGUUCAUAGGAUAUAGAACAGUACAGCACAGGAACAGGCCCUACGCCCCACAAUGUUUGUGCUGAAGACAAACUCUUAUCUGCUUGCACAUAAUCCAUAUCUCUCCAUUCCCUGUAUUUUCAUGCAAAGAUCCAAAAGCCACUUAAAUGCCACAAUCGUAUCUGCCUUGGCCUGCAGCCUUAGCAGUGUGUUCCAGGCACCUACCAUACUCUGUAUAUAAAAAACUUGCCACGCACAUCUCCUUUAAACUUUGCCCCUCUCACCUUAAGCUAUGUCCUCUAGUCAUUGACAUUUUCACCAUGGGAGAAAAAGGUUUUGACUGUCUACUCAAUCUAUGUCUCUCAUAACAUUAUAUACUUCUAUCAGGUCUCCCCCUCAAUCUCAGGCAUCCAGAUAAAACAGUCCAAGACUAUUCAAUCUCUCAGGUUCAAGUUGGAUAAAACGAUUCAGCAAGAACACUCAUUGAUUUUCAGAGGAUUAAAAGGACCGAUUCACACUUCAAUAACUGACUCUCACUUUCAUUGCAUGAUUCUGGUGGUUGGCUGUUUGGUAUGAAUUGCAGCAUGCUCUUGUUCAGUCUAACUUAAAAGAAAAACAUUAAAUUAUUUUUGUGGCUGUGGAAGUCUUUUUUUUUAAACUCAUUAAAGCAAUAUGUUUGACUAUGA